AUUGAACGCUGGCGGCAUGCCUUACACAUGCAAGUCGAACGGCAGCACGGGAGCUUGCUCCUGGUGGCGAGUGGCGAACGGGUGAGUAAUACAUCGGAACGUACCCAGUAGUGGGGGAUAACGCACCGAAAGGUGCGCUAAUACCGCAUACGACCUACGGGUGAAAGCGGGGGACCGUAAGGCCUCGCGCUAUUGGAGCGGCCGAUGUCUGAUUAGCUAGUUGGCGGGGUAAAAGCCCACCAAGGCGACGAUCAGUAGCUGGUCUGAGAGGACGAUCAGCCACACGGGGACUGAGACACGGCCCAGACUCCUACGGGAGGCAGCAGUGGGGAAUUUUGGACAAUGGGGGCAACCCUGAUCCAGCAAUGCCGCGUGUGCGAAGAAGGCCUUCGGGUUGUAGAGCACUUUUGUCAGGGAAGAAAUCUUUCAGGCUAAUACCCUUGGAAGGAUGACGGUACCUGAAGAAUAAGCACCGGCUAACUACGUGCCAGCCGCCGCCGUAA
rnacentral:rRNA from 1 species